UUUCCGUAGGUGAACCUGCGGAAGGAUCAUUAAUGAGUAAGGGCCCUCUGGGUCCCAACUAUCCCUCGUUUUUAUUGCACAUAGUUGCUUAGGUGACCCCGCCUCACGGUAAAGGGGGGGAUUCUUCCCUCGGUCACGCGUUCGCCAAAGAUACAUUAUAACUUUGUUUGCAGUUUUCUGUCUGAACGAGAAAGUAAUAUUUAAUAAAUAUAUACUACGGAUCUCUUGGUUCUGGCAUCGCUGAACAAUUUAGGAAGUCCAAACAUUACAUAUCUGAAC
rnacentral:misc_RNA from 1 species